CCCGAGACAAACCCGACGGAGCGCCUGGCCCGAACCCCAUUUUUGGGGUCGGGGCAGAUGAUUCAGGUGCGCAUACAAACCCUAAACGGAGACACUGAAAACCUUCCUCUUCGUGGAGAACCCUAAUGACGAUCGGCGGCGGGUGCGUUGGUUUGCGCCUCCGUCGAGCGAGUUCUUCGCUUGUCCAGUUGCUCCUUCUUCUUCACGAAUCACGUGUUCGUCCAGCCGGAGAAAUUCGAGGAUGGGGAUGGAGGAAGUGUUGAAUCUCCGUGGGUGGUUCAGCGUGUUCCGUGAAGGAAGAAUGAGCAAUCUAAACAACCGAAGAAGUCACCCGACGGAAUGUGCUCGACUUUCAGGAUGCUUGCUGUGGAAUCCGACGGCGAUGAUGUUUCUCAAACAGGUGAUGUAUCGGAUAGCAUUCUGCAGGUGACGAGUGUUCGAAGGAAGAUAGGCUGAUAAGUGUGCAGGCUGUUGUACCUCCAGAUUGGGAAAUAUUCACAGAAUCUUUAUAGAAAUGUUGAUUUAUGCUCGCUUUUUAGGCUUGAUCGAGGAAGGCUGAACUUUGGCUCUGCAGUUUGUUUAUUCUUCUAUGCAGCUGCUGAAUUCUACGAAAAGAAUUUUAUCAGCAACGAUGAACUGGAUAAAGGGUGUAGACGCAGAAUUUCGGAGGAUAUCCGUUUUACAGAUGCACAUGCCAAGGUCGUCAAAGUAGAUAGCUUCUCCUUAUAUUAUAUCUAUUGCACUUUGCAGGUUUAUGAGUGUCCUGUACGACUUGCUCAAUGGGACCGUCGGUAAUGCGAAAUUUUAGGAUGAUUGCAGCGAUAUAAUUCGAAAUCAGUCUUGUGUGCUCUUUACAAGUUGGAUACAUAAGCCGAUGAGGCAGACUUUUUCUUGUUACAUCGUCAUUUAGCUGCAUCUGAUGAUGAGGACAACAAGCUUAAAUCACGGAAAGUUUAAGUUUUGUUGAUUCAGCGUAUUUGUGAGAGUGCAUGUAUCUUCCUCCACGAUGAUGACAUAUACAGAAUGGAAUUUUCGUUUGUUGCUGCUCCUUUGUCCAUUCUGUUUAUGGACAAUCCAAAGAAGAACCUUAAGUGUUUGCAGUUUCCGCAGAUCUUAAUUUUGAUGCUGUCUGCACAAUGAUUAUCUGAUAGUCCUCUCCUAUCAGAAAAGAGCCACGGCAUAUUUCUUGCGAGAUGGUUGUAUCUCCUAAAACUCACAAUGGAAUCAGUCUUUUAAAUCAGUUGAGGACCCAGUGCUCUGCCCCCUCCUAUGUUGUCUAUAGAUUGCUAUUCAAUGUACCGCUUAGGCACAGCAAAUGCAGAGAAGUACUUGAUUGAGAAUGUGAUACAGGAUGGGAAGAGAGCCCCUAUGUGGCAAUGUUGCUUUUUUUCUUGAUUCUUUACUUGAAGGAGCAUAGGCGCUUUUAUUUUGAAAUGAAUAUUAUGUCUUUGGAUAUUCUGUCCAUAUUUCUGUUCCUCAAACAUGAUUCCUCAAUUUUUGUA